rnacentral:rRNA from 1 species
AGGAUAAACGCUGGCGGCGUGCAUGAGACAUGCAAGUCGAACGGACGAUCGAGGCUUGCCUUGAUCGUUAGUGGCGGACGGCUGAGUAACGCGUAGGUGACCUGCCCCGAAGUGGGGAAUAACUGCCCGAAAGGGUGGCUAAUACCGCAUGUGGUGGUGUGUUCAUUCACACCAGUAAAGCCGCAAGGCGCUUCGGGAGGGGCCUGCGUCCGAUUAGCUCGUUGGUGGGGUAACGGCUCACCAAGGCGACGAUCGGUAGGUGGUCUGAGAGGACGAUCACCCAGACUGGGACUGAGACACGGCCCAGACUCCUACGGGAGGCAGCAGUCGGGAAUUUGCGCAAUGGACGAAAGUCGUGACGGCAGCAACGCCGCGUGAGGGAUGAAGGCCUUCGGGUUGUAACCUCUUUAUCAGGAGAUGAUGACGUACUGAUGAAUAAGUCACGCUAACUACGUGCCAGCAACGCCGAC